AUUGAACGCUGGCGGCAUGCCUUUCACAUGCAUGACGAACGGUAACAGGUUAAGCUGACGAGUGGCGAACGGGUGAGUAAUAUAUCGGAACGUGCCCAGUCGUGGGGGAUAACGUCGCGAAAGCUACGCUAAUACCGCAUACGAUCUACGGAUGAAAGCGGGGGCUCGCAAGACCUCGCGCGAUUGGAGCGGCCGAUAUCAGAUUAGGUUGUUGGUGAGGUAAAAGCUCACCAACACUGCGACCUGGAGCUGGUCUGAGAGGACGACCAGCCACACGAGAACUGAGACACGGUCCAGACUCCUACGGGAGGCAGCAGUGGGGAAUUUUGGACAAUGGACGCAAGUCUGAUCCAGCAAUUCCGCGUGCAGGACGAAGGCCUUAGGGUUGAAAACUGCUUUUGUGCGGAACGAAACGGUGAGCUCUAAUACAGUUUGUUAGUGACGGUACCGUAAGAAUAAGCACCGGCUAACUACGUGCCAGCGGCCGCGGUAA
rnacentral:rRNA from 1 species